rnacentral:rRNA from 1 species
UACGGGGGGGGUAAGCGUUGUUCGGAAUUACUGGGCGUAAAGGGCUCGUAGGCGGCCAACUAAGUCAGACGUGAAAUCCCUCAGCUUAACUGGGGAACUGCGUCUGAUACUGGAUGGCUUGGAUUCGGGAGAGGAAUGCGGAAUUCCAGGUGUAGCGGUGAAAUGCGUAGAUAUCUGGAGGAACACCGGUGGCGAAGGCGGCUCACUGGCCCGGUACUGACGCUGAGGCGCGAAAGCGUGGGGAGCAAACAGG